GAAAGUAAGCAAGGGCAGACGGUGGAUGCCUUGGCUCUCGGAGGCGACGAAGGACGUGAUAAGCUGCGAAAAGCUCGGGGGAGGCGCAAAUAGCCGUUGAUCCCGGGAUAUCCGAAUGGGGCAACCCGGCAGGCUGAAGGCCUGUCAUCCCGUAAGGGAGGCGAACGUGGGGAACUGAAACAUCUAAGUACCCAUAGGAGGAGAAAAUAAACAAUGAUUCCGUAAGUAGUGGCGAGCGAACACGGAAGAGCCCAAACCCAUGUCGUCUAGGCGACACGGGGGUUGUAGGACCACGACGUGGCAAGAUAGAGUCAAGUGGAACGCCUUGGAAAAGGCGGUCAUAGAGGGUGAAAACCCCGUACACGACUGACGAUUGAAGCCUAGUGGCAUCCUGAGUAGCGCGGGGCACGAGAAAUCUUGCGUGAAACAGCGGGGCCCAUCCCGUAAGGCUAAAUACUCCCGAGAGACCGAUAGCGAACCAGUACCGUGAGGGAAAGGUGAAAAGAACCCCGAGCAGGGGAGUGAAAUAGACCCUGAACCCGUCUGCCUACAAGCGGUCGGAGCGUUGUUAUGACGUGACGGCGUGCCUUUUGCAUAAUGAACCUACGAGUUACCUUCCCCGGCAAGGUUAAGUACCUAAGGUACGGAGCCGAAGCGAAAGCGAGUCUGAAGAGGGCGGCCAGUCGGGGGGGGUAGACGCGAAACCGAGUGAUCUACCCUUGGCCAGGUUGAAGGUUGGGUAACACCAACUGGAGGACCGGAUGGGUAAGCGUUGAAAAGCUUUCCAAUGAGCUGAGGGUAGGGGUGAAAGGCUAAUCAAACUCGGAGAUAGCUCGUACUCCCCGAAAUGCAUUUAGGUGCAGCCUCUUUAUAGUAUAUCGUGAGGUAGAGCGACUGAUUGGAUGCGAGGGCUUCACCGCCUAUCAAGUCCAGAUAAACUCCGAAUGCGCGAUAUAUAUUUACAGGGAGUGAGGGCGCGGGUGCUAAGGUCCGUGUCCGAGAGGAGAAGAAUCCAGACCACCGGCUAAGGCCCCCAAAUGAUCGUUGAGUUGAACUAACGAGGUCGGAUCGCAGAGACAGCUAGGAUGUUGGCUUGGAAGCAGCCAUUCAUUUAAAGAGUGCGUAACAGCUCACUAGUCGAGCGAUCUGGCGUGGAUAAUAAUCGGGCAUAAACGAUCUGCCGAAGCCGUGGAUGUCGUAAGACAUGGUAGGGGAGCAUUCCAUGCGGCGUCGAAGAUGAGGGAUGACCCUUGUUGGAGCGCAUGGAAAAGCAAAUGUAGGUAUGAGUAACGAUAAGGGGGGCGAGAAACCCCCCCGCCGAAAGACCAAGGUUUCCUGAUCAACGCUAAUCGGAUCAGGGUGAGUCGGGACCUAAGGCUAAGCCGAACGGCGACGCCGAUGGAAGAAUGGGUUAAUAUUCCCAUACUGCCUCAUGGAGUGACGUGGAGACGGAGAAGUGACAGUCCUGCCGGCUGACGGAAUAGCCGGUUGAAGGGUGUAGAUAUUGAUUCCCGUAGGCAAAUCCGCGGGGAGAGUCGAACCUGAGAGUAUACCGAGUACUUGUACGAGGUAAUAUGGACGUAACCAUGCUCCCAAGAAAAUCCGCUAAACUUAUCCAUGCGGCACCCGUACCGUAAACGGACACACGUGGUCGGGUUGAGAAUACUGAGGCGCUCGAGUGAUUCACGGUUAAGGAACUAGGCAAAUUGACCCUGUAACUUCGGGAUAAAGGGUCCCAACGAGAGUUGGGCGCAGAGAAUAGGUCCAGGCAACUGUUUAACAAAAACACAGGGCUGUGCCAAAUUGAAAGAUUACGUAUACAGCCUGACACCUGCCCGGUGCUGGAAGGUUAAGAGGAGAUGUCAUCGCAAGAGAAGCGUUGAAUUGAAGCCCCAGUAAACGGCGGCCGUAACUAUAACGGUCCUAAGGUAGCGAAAUUCCUUGUCGGGUAAGUUCCGACCUGCACGAAUGGUGUAAUGAUCUGGACGCUGUCUCAACCGUGAGCUCAGUGAAAUUGUAGUAUCGGUGAAGAUGCCGAUUACCCGCGAUGGGACGAAAAGACCCCGUGAACCUUUACUAUAGCUUUACAUUGAAUUUGGGCAGACGAUGUGUAGGAUAGGCCGGAGGCUUUGAAGGGGGUACGCCAGUAUCCUUGGAGCCGCCGUUGAAAUACGGCCCUUCGGUUGUUUGAGUUCUAACUCCCGGAUGGGAGGACACUGUAUGGUGGGUAGUUUGACUGGGGUGGUCGCCUCCAAAAGCGUAACGGAGGCUUCUAAAGGUGCCCUCAGACCGAUUGGUAACCGGUCGUAGAGUGUAAUGGCAUAAGGGCGCUUGACUGGGAGACAGACAAGUCGAUCAGGUAGGAAACUAGAGCAUAGUGAUCCGGUGUUUCCGUAUGGAAGGGACAUCGCUCAAAGGAUAAAAGGUACUCCGGGGAUAACAGGCUGAUCCCUCCCAAGAGCUCAUAUCGACGGAGUGGUUUGGCACCUCGAUGUCGGCUCGUCACAUCCUGGGGCUGGAGAAGGUCCCAAGGGUUGGGCUGUUCGCCCAUUAAAGUGGCACGCGAGCUGGGUUCAGAACGUCGUGAGACAGUUCGGUCUCUAUCUAUCGUGGGCGCAGGAGAUUUGAGGGGCUCUGACACUAGUACGAGAGGACCGUGUUGGACGUACCACUGGUUUACCGGUUGUCCCGCCAGGGGCACCGCCGGGUAUCUAAGUACGGAUCGGAUAAGUGCUGAAAGCAUCUAAGUACGAAGCCGGCCUCAAGAUUAGAUCUCCCUGAAGGGUGGUUAUAGACGAUGACCUUGAUAGGCCACAGGUGUAAGGGCGGCGACGUCCGAGCCGAGUGGUACUAAUAGCCCGGGACUUUCCUCA
rnacentral:rRNA from 1 species